rnacentral:rRNA from 1 species
CCUACGGGUGGCAGCAGUGGGGAAUCUUCGGCAAUGGGCGAAAGCCUGACCCAGCAACGCCGCGUGAAGGAAGAAGGUCUUCGGGUUGUAAACUUCUUUUAUCAAGGACGAAACAAAUGACGGUACAUGAUGAAUAAGCCACGGCUAACUACGCGCCAGCAGCCGCGGUAAUACGUAGGUGGCACGCGUUAUCCGGAUUUACUGGGUGUAAAGUGCGGGUAGGCGGGGCUGCAAGUCAGAUGUGAAAGCCAUGGGCUCAACCCAUGACCUGCAUUUGAAACUGGCGUGCUGGAGUUGGAGAGAGGUAUGCGGAAUUCGUGGUGUAGCGGUGAAAUGCGUAGAUAUCACGAAGAACCCCGAUUGCGAAGGCAGCAUACCGGCUCCACACUGACGCUGAGGCACGAAAGCGUGGGUAUCGAACAGGAUUAGAUACCCCAGUAGUC